rnacentral:rRNA from 1 species
UACAGGGGGCUCGAGCGUUAGUCGGAAUCACUGGGCUUAAAGGGUGCGUAGGCGGAUUAAUAAGUCAGUGGUGAAAGCCCAUCGCUUAACGAUGGAACUGCCAUUGAUACUGUUAGUCUUGAGUAUGGUUGAGGUGGGCGGAAUGUGUCAUGUAGCGGUGAAAUGCUUAGAUAUGACACAGAACACCAAUUGCGAAGGCAGCUCGCUAAACCAUAACUGACGCUGAGGCACGAAAGCGUGGGGAGCAAACAGG